GUAGGGAAUAUUGGACAAUGGGGGGAACCCUGAUCCAGCCAUGCCGCGUGGAGGAAGACUGCCCUCUGGGUUGUAAACUCCUUUUAUAUGGGAAGAACCGUCCUCAUUAAUGAGUGACCUGACGGUACCAUAGGAAUAAGCACCGGCUAACUCCGUGCCAGCAGCCGCGGUAAUACGGAGGGUGCAAGCGUUAUCCGGCGUCACUGGGUUUAAAGGGUGCGUCGGCGGAUAAAUAAGUCAGUGGUGAAAUCAACGGGCUCAACCUGUUAACUGCCAUUGAUACUGUGUAUCUUGAAUAUGAGAGAGGUAGGCGGAAUGUUGCAUGUAGCGGUGAAAUGCUUAGAUAUGCUACGGAACACCGAUUGCGAAGGCAGCUUACUAUUUCGUAAUUGACGCUGAGGCACGAAAGCGUGGGUAGCGAACAGGAUUAGAAACCCUGGUAGUCC
rnacentral:rRNA from 1 species